rnacentral:hammerhead_ribozyme from 1 species
AUCCAGCUGACGAGUCUCGUAUAAGACGAAACACGCAUCCUGGAU